GACAGAGGGGGCAAGCGUUGCUCGGAAUUACUGGGCGUAAAGGGCGCGUAGGCGGGAUGGCAAGUCGGUCGUGAAAUCCUUCGGCUCAACCGAAGAACGUCGAUCGAUACUGCUGUUCUUGAGGGUUGCAGAGGAGACUGGAAUUCCCGGUGUAGCGGUGAAAUGCGUAGAUAUCGAGAGGAACACCUGCGGCGAAGGCGGGUUGCUGGGCCGACACUGACGCUGAUGCGCGAAAGCCAGGGGAGCGAACGGG
rnacentral:rRNA from 1 species